GGUUUUAUGGUUGAAUGGUAAGGACACUUGCCUCUCACGCUGGAGCCCCGGGUUUGAUCCCCGGUCGAGGGCUAAGACUU